GCUUUCCUGGUGUGUUUGCCAGCGGGUUACGUCCCUGAGCCGAUAUCCACAUUUAAAGGGUUUUCUCGUCACUGCUAUUGUGCAUGCUCAGCUCGACUGAGACGCCUACGGCAGAGCAGGAUUCCCGCCUUGAACCGGAGGGUUCAAGGGCUGACACUCGCAGCGGCACACUGGGAAACAC
rnacentral:other from 3 species